rnacentral:rRNA from 1 species
UACAGAGGUCCCGAGCGUUGUUCGGAUUCAUUGGGCGUAAAGGGUGCGUAGGCGGCGGGGCCAGUCUGAUGUGAAAUCCCAGGGCUCAACCCUGGAACUGCAUUGGAUACUGCCUUGCUAGAGUACUGGAGAGGGAACUGGAAUUUACGGUGUAGCAGUGAAAUGCGUAGAGAUCGUAAGGAAGGCCAGUGGCGAAGGCGAGUUCCUGGACAGUGACUGACGCUGAGGCACGAAGGCCAGGGGAGCAAACGGG